rnacentral:rRNA from 2 species
AGAGUUUGAUCCUGGCUCAGGACGAACGCUGGCGGCGUGCUUAACACAUGCAAGUCGAGCGGUAAGGCCCUUCGGGGUACACGAGCGGCGAACGGGUGAGUAACACGUGAGCAAUCUGCCCAUCACAUCGGGAUAACCCAGGGAAACUUGGGCUAAUACCGGAUACGUGCGAGAGCAGAAAGAUUUAUCGCUGAAGGAUCGGCCCGCGUCUGAUUAGCUAGUUGGUAGGGUAAUGGCCUACCAAGGCGACGAUCAGUAGCUGGUCUGAGAGGAUGAUCAGCCACAUUGGGACUGAGACACGGCCCAAACUCCUACGGGAGGCAGCAGUGGGGAAUAUUGGACAAUGGGCGCAAGCCUGAUCCAGCCAUGCCGCGUGAGUGAUGAAGGCCUUAGGGUUGUAAAGCUCUUUCGGCGGGGACGAUAAUGACGGUACCCGCAGAAGAAGCCCCGGCUAACUUCGUGCCAGCAGCCGCGGUAAUACGAAGGGGGCUAGCGUUGUUCGGAAUCACUGGGCGUAAAGGGCGCGUAGGCGGCUUGAUCAGUCGGGGGUGAAAGCCUGUGGCUCAACCACAGAAUUGCCUUCGAUACUGUCUGGCUUGAGACCGGAAGAGGUAAGUGGAACUGCGAGUGUAGAGGUGAAAUUCGUAGAUAUUCGCAAGAACACCAGUGGCGAAGGCGGCUUACUGGUCCGGUUCUGACGCUGAGGCGCGAAAGCGUGGGGAGCAAACAGGAUUAGAUACCCCCGUAGUCC